CAUCGGUUCCUUCGCGACGACCAGCCGCAAACCCCGCCAGGCCCGGAAGGGAGCAACGGUAGCGGCAAGGGCGGGUGCCGGAGGGUCGGCUGGUGCGG
rnacentral:SRP_RNA from 1 species